rnacentral:rRNA from 1 species
AGGACGAACGCUGGCGGCGUGCUUAACACAUGCAAGUCGAGCGGUAAGGCCUUUCGGGGUACACGAGCGGCGAACGGGUGAGUAACACGUGGGUGAUCUGCCCUGCACUCUGGGAUAAGCCUGGGAAACUGGGUCUAAUACCGGAUAUGACCUGCUCUCGCAUGGGGGGUGGUGGAAAGAUUUAUCGGUGCAGGAUGGGCCCGCGGCCUAUCAGCUUGUUGGUGGGUAACGCCCACCAAGCCUACGACGGGUAGCCGGCCUGAGAGGGUGACCGGCCACACUGGGACUGAGACACGGCCCAGACUCCUACGGGAGGCAGCAGUGGGAAUAUUGCACAAUGGGCGCAAGCCUGAUGCAGCAACGCCGCGUGAGGACGACGGCCUUCGGUUGUAACCUCUUUAGUAGGAAGAAGCGAAAGUGACGGUACCUGACAGAAAAGCAACCGGCUAACUACGUGCCAGCAGCCGAC